GCGAGAGUGGCAUAGUGGUUUGAGCACUGGACCAUGGCUCUAGAGACCAGGGUUCGAAUCCAAGUUGAGCCA